rnacentral:rRNA from 1 species
CAGGAUUAACGCUGGCGGCGUGCCUAAUACAUGCAAGUCGAAUGGUAGCAAUACCAUGGCGAACGGGUGAGUAACACGUAGGUAACCUGUCUUUAAGCCGAGGAUAACCAUUGGAAACGAUGGAUAAUACUGGAUAGGACAUUUGAAGGCAUCUUUAGAUGUUUAAAGAUUUAUCACUUAGAGAGGGGCCUGCGGCGCAUUAGCUAGUUGGUGAGGUGAAGGCUUACCAAGGCGAUGAUGCGUAGCCGGACUGAGAGGUUGAACGGCCACAAUGGAACUGAGAACGGUCCAUACUCCUACGGGAGGCAGCAGUAGGGAAUUUUCGGCAAUGGGCGGAAGCCUGACCGAGCAACGCCGCGUGAACGAAGAAGUAUUUCGGUAUGUAAAGUUCUUUUAUUAGGGACGAAAAGACAGAUUGACGGUACCUAAUGAAUAAGCUCCGGCUAACUACGUGCCAGCCGCGGC